ensembl:lncRNA
CAGAAUCACAUUUGAGGUGAAUGUUCCUCAGGCAGAUACAGCACAUGAUUUUUAGAAUAGUUUUGUAGUCAGCUCAGGUUAACAAUUACAGACAAACUUGCAAGCACAUUCCCAGCCAAACAACAGACCCUAACACAGAUGGGGUGGGGUGGGGGGAAUGGAGGGAACACACCAAAUCUGAUGAUGAUGAUCUUCUUCUUCUUCUUCUUCUUCUUCUUCUUCUUCUUCUUCUUCUUCUUCUUCUUCUUCUUCUUCUUCUUCUUCUUCUUCUCCUUCUUCUUCUUCUUCUCCUCCUCCUCCUCCUCCCUCCUCUUCUUCUUCUUCUUUCAAAAGGUAGAAUACUUGCCUUCUCUUCUUCCAGUCUCCAAAUUUGGGAAUUUCCUCCCGGGCACUUUUCAACUUCGUCUACUUUGUGAAGCGCCCUCGCAAGGAAUGUAAUAUUCUAGAUGGGGAGGACUAGGGUGAGCAACGCGGGCGAAGAAAAACUCCGUUGAGAGCAGAUGAUAAAAGAUGAAGGGAAACGAAGGUCGGAAGCCAGCAGAGAGCAGGGCCGCUGAAUGAAGAAGGGAAGGAGGGAAGGGAGGGAAAGCUGUGGAAAAAGGUGUGGAGCGGCGGAAUGCUUGGAGAGCGAUCAAGAGGAAAGGGAGCGUUGCUGGAAAGAGAAGGCAGGGGAAGCGGGGAGGGUCUCCGAAAAAGGGACGGGAAGCCGAGCGAACGUUUCGGGGUGUUAUUCUUUGUCCGGGCUUCUUUUUGCACCCCACUUGGGAUUCGAGCAACGCCUCGGAGCUGGGAGCAGAACAGAGAAAAGCCGCCUUUGCAGGAAGGCGUGAAGAUCGCUGGAGGGAGGGAACACCCGCGAUCCUAAGAAAAGGUGCUCGGGGGUGCCCGAAGGCGCACCCAAGAGUUCCCUCCCUUCCCCGCCAGCGCGACCUACCUGGCCGGCGAAGUUCAGCAGAACUUGCCACCCUCCUCCGCUCAGUCAGGAGCCGCUCCUGGGCAGCGGCACCCACCUCGCCACACACACACACACACACACACACACCCCGCCCCCCCCCACAAUGCACCGCUGCCAACUCACAGUCUCUCCUCGGCCGCCCGCAGCCCAGUCCAAGCGAAGCCGAGGCAAGGCCGGGCAAGCCGCCACCUCCCCGCGCCCGAAGGCCGGCUGGAAGUGGAGAGUCAGGACCGCCCCCUGCUGGCUAUAAACUCUUCUUUCUUGGGCCAUUGAUGGACAUUCCACAGAGAAAAAACAAUAGAGGUAAUAAAACAUGGCCAUGGAAUGCAAGGAGAAGAAAGAAAUUCAACCUUCUGUCCCCAACCACCCAGAUCUCAAUAAGCUCUGCCUUUACUACCCAAUGA